AUUGAACGCUGGCGGCAGGCCUAACACAUGCAAGUCGAACGAGUGGCGGUCGGGUGAGUAAUGUAUGGGAAACUGCCUGAUGGAGGGGGAUAACUACUGGAAACGGUAGCUAAUACCGCAUACCAUCAGCUGUGCCCAGAUGGUAUUAGCUAGGUGGUGGGGGAACGGCUCACCGAGGCUACGCUCCCUAGCUGGUCUGAGAGGAUGACAGGCCACACUGGGACUGAGACACGGCCCAGACUCCUACGGGAGGCAGCAGGAGGGAAUAUUGAGCAAUGGGGGCAAUCCUGAUGGAGCAAUGCCGCGUGUAUGAAGAAGGCCUUCGGGUUGUAAAGUACUUUCAGCGAGGAGGCGUUACCCGCAGAAGAAGCACCGGCUAAAUCAGGGCCAGCAGGCGCGGUAAUUC
rnacentral:rRNA from 1 species